rnacentral:rRNA from 1 species
CCAGCAAUGGUCGGGGGAGUCGCGGAACUGCGGAAGGAUCAUUAU